GAUAGCAAGUCGAUCCACCCCAAGAGUUCACAUGAAGGAAGAAGGUUUGGCACCUCGAUGUUGGCUCUUCACCACCUGGGGUUGUAGUAUGUUCCAAGGGUUGGGCUAUUCACCCAUUAAAGUGAUACCUAAGCUAGGUAGCUCAACAGUAAAUAAACGGUUG
rnacentral:ncRNA from 1 species